UAAAAAAUAUUAUAAAAAAGGUUUAAUCGGAGAUGAGCGGGUGGAAUAAAUAAGAAAUGUUAAGGAACCGUCAAUUUUUAACAUACUUAUGCAAUAUUGUGCAAUUUCUACUGAAAUUGACAUCGUCUAUAGCCAUUAUAAUGUAAAGUUAUUUGGGUGUAUCAAAGUGCAAAUAUCUGUUUGUGCGGUUUAUUAAAGACAAAAUAACUGCGAUAACCUUUUCGUUGUGUACUGUUUAACUACUUGUAAAUGGGAACAUCAAUAAUUUGCCAAGUGCGAGAAAUGAAUGCAUUUAUAUACACGUGUAGCAUAUGCAAUCAAACGCUUUUUCAUAAAAGCUGCGAUUGUCACAGAAGGGUGGGAACAAUUAAACCAAGACGAAAUUAAGUCAUUAAUCAUCCAAACAAAAUCAGUUUCUACUUAAUCAUCUAAUAAGAAGGGAACCACGAAACGAGUUUCCAUAAUAGUAUAAACCAGACUGGCUGAACUAUUAUCUUCUGGUCCAUGUUUGGUGGAAAAAACGUGGCAAAGAACGGGACAAUCAAUGGAAUAUCUGGAAGAUGUCGACGCAGGCUGUCUUCAUUUGUCGCUACAAAACUGUACGUUGCCGAUUAAAUAAAUGUUAGUC